rnacentral:tRNA from 1 species
ACUGAAUUAGCUCAGUCAGUUGAGCGUGGCGCUAACAACACUAACGUCGUGGGUUCGAUUCCCAUUCGGUC